UGCGGAGUGGGACCGGACGUCCCACUGGGCCUCAUAAGCCCGGGUCGCAGGGUUCGACUCCCUGCUCCGCAA
rnacentral:tRNA from 1 species